ensembl:lincRNA
GUCACAGAAACACCCUGCCAUGACACAUAUGAGGAGGCCGAGGCUACCAGUGAAUAAAGUGACACGGACUCAUUGAAUGAAAUGUUUCCAUCAGACACUUUAAAUGGCAAAGAUCCAUCUUCCAAAUUGAAAACGUCAAUUAAGAAUAUCAAGAAGAUGCCGCCCAAGCUGGUAUUUCUGCAAGACAGUAACAGCCAGGUCCAUAAAAAGCCAAAGACAUAUUUUAAUAGUGAUUUUAAAACCUUCAGACCAAAAAGCGCAAAAGACACUUCAACACAGGCAGUCAUUUCAAGACCAUCUACCAAAAGAAUGACCAGUCGUACAACAAAAACCAGAAAGGCAGAUGAAACCAAUACCACCAACAGAUCCUCUGUUAGUAUGAAUUAUGAGCAGCAGCAUAUCUGUGACAAGAUUACCAACAUUGUAAGUCACACCAGACUGUCUUUGUCACGUUUUUCUCCUGACAGCCACAAACAAAAUCUGGAGGAUUCCAUGACAUCUUGCCAAAGUCUCCAGACACCUUUAGACGAUAAGAGAAGCAGCAAACCUGUUUAUCCUAUUCAGAUAUGUAAACUUUUCUCAGCCUGGGAGGUAAAUACAUCGUCCACUUGGAUAACUCAACUCCUGGGCCAUCAGUCCUCAAAUUUUUUGCUUCUGACUUGAACCUGGCAAAGGAUGUGACACCGAAAAAUUAAGGAAGCUUCAGAAGGUCACCUUAAUAUAUGUCUUAGAAGAUGCGCAAAUCAUCUUGUCCUCUUGUUUCUAAGCAAGAGUUCCGAGUAAAGUGUUGUUUCUGUUUUGUUUGGAAAAUCACAAUUGUCUCUCAUUCUUGUGUUUUCCUAUCAACGUGUUUGCUGGAGUGAGUGUGUAUCAAGGUUGCUUUCCUGAAACUGUAACUGUAGAGUUUCUAGAAGAAUCUGAUUGCAGAGCUAAUUCUCUUUCAGUAUAUAUUUGAAAUCUUAAAGUAAUGCUUUUUUUUUUUUUUUUUAUUGAGAGUCUCGCCCUGUUACCCAGGCUGCAGUACGGUGGCGUGAUCUCAGCUCACUGCAACCUCCACUUCCUGGUCUCAAGCAUUUCUCCUGUCUCAGCCUCCUAAGCAGCUGGGAUUACAGACAUGCACCACCACGCCUGGCUAAUUUUUUGUAUUUUGAGUAGAGAUGGGGUUUCACCAUGUUGGCUAGGCUGGUCUUGAACUCCUGGCCUCCAGUGAUCCACCCGCCUUGGCCUCUGAAGGUGCUGGGAUUAUAGGCGUGAGCCACCACACUCGGCCAAGUAAUGCUUUUUCUGUGUACCAGUGACAAUUUUGAGAGCUCAACACUCACAGUUGAUCUUGUAAAGAACAUAAUAGAUUAUGCAAGGGCUGCAGGAUCGCUCACAGGAGCUGUGUCACAUUGCUUCUUAUAUACGAAAACCAAAGGUUACAGAAUAUAGUAAAUUGUAUUUUACCAUGAUAUAUGUAUAUGUUUAACUCUACCCAUCUGUACCAGUGAGUAUACAGGCACUAAUAGCCUCAAAUGUUGGGAGUCCUGUGACACUCCAUCUUGGAACAGCCAGCACCUUUCAUGCUUUGGCAGUGUUUCCUUUUGAAGGACACAUUGGGGUUUAUCUACAGAAAUAUGUAUUCUUUUUAUUGUGUUCAUAAAGGAGUACAUGGCUGUUGUCUCAUGGGUAAUGUUUAAUUCCUAUAAAUGUUUAAAGUAUUUUUCUGCCUGUACUCUCCAGUUCUGUCCUUGAGUAUACAUUCAGGCUUGAGGUGUAAUCAAAAUUUGCUUGCCUUUCCCUAGCCACUGGCUGUCAGUGAGUUCCCGUGAUGGGCACACAGAAAUGCACACAGAUGUACAUACAUGUAUGCGUGCACAGACCAUAUAUGUUUCCAUAAAACUCAAAUGCAGAUGAAUUGUCCUAACGCUAAUGAAUUUUCAGUGUUGAAUCGCAAAUAGUCCAAAGCAGGUGAGUGUUCCUUUUGGCCGCCAGUUUUGGAUUAGUAAAAGGAAGUAAUUCUUUCAGAUUCCCUGGUUCUUUGCCACUUAGAGUACUGUGCCUUUGAUAUAGAAUAGAGUGGGUUACCUUUGGUUUAAACACUAUUUUUAUAUACUAGAUCUUUCAUAUAUAAAGCAGAGACAAUCAUCCUAACAAAUGAGUUUCUGUUAUUUUUGUGCACAAAUGUCAUGUGUUGAAACACUCUGUUACAGUUCCAUAUAAAUGUGUGCUAUAUGAAGUAAACUUUACAGAUAAAACAGGGUUUUUUCAUUAUAAUACUAAAAAAAAAUGUACUGGUGGUGGUAUAAAGGCGACACCAAUCGUUGGCCAAGCUAUGAACACAGGCAGCCAGCAAAUUCAAUGAACAAGGAUGAAAUCUUCUGAUCUCCCUCUUCAUCCAGUUGGUGAUUUGGCAGAGUUCCACUUCUGGAAUAGAAAGAUGUGAGGUUGUUUGUUUGUUUGUUGUUUGUUUGUUUUAGAGACAAGGUCUCACUCUGUGGCCCACGCUGGAGUGCAGUGGCAUGAUCAUAGCUCACUGCAGCCUCAAACUCUGAUAUUCAUGCAGUCCUCCAGCCUCAGCCUCCUGAGUAGCUAGGACCACAGGCAUGGCACCAUACCUGGCUUUUUGUUGUUGUUCUUGUUAUGUUUCCCAGGCUGGUCUUGAACGACCGGCCCUAAGUGAUCUUCCUGCCUCAGUCUCCAAAAAUGCUGUGAUACACCCAGCCUAGAUGUGCAUUUCCAAGCUCUGGUUGUCUUCCUGCAACUAUUUCAGUGCUUGUUACUCUUCCCUGUUAUGGUUCUGUUGUGUAAGUUGAGGCUUAUUACUACAGUAUCUUUUGAUUUUUUUUUUUAAAAAAAUGUUAUGUUGUUUCUUUCUUGCCCUGUUUUAUGGUGCUGACCUUGCUUUUUUUUUUAUCAUAAUAAAAAUC